AGAGUUUGAUCCUGGCUCAGGACGAACGCUGGCGGCGUGCUUAACACAUGCAAGUCGAGCGGAAAGGCCACUUCGGUGGUACUCGAGCGGCGAACGGGUGAGUAACACGUGAGUAAUCUGCCCCUGGCUUUGGGAUAGCCACCGGAAACGGUGAUUAAUACCGGAUAUGACCGCUUCUCGCAUGGGUUGUGGUGGAAAGUUUUUCGGCCAGGGAUGUGCUCGCGGCCUAUCAGCUUGAUGGUGAGGUAAUGGCUCACCAUGGCUUCGACGGGUAGCCGGCCUGAGAGGGUGACCGGUCACACUGGGACUGAGACACGGCCCAGACUCCUACGGGAGGCAGCAGUGGGGAAUAUUGGACAAUGGGCGGAAGCCUGAUCCAGCAACGCCGCGUGAGGGAUGACGGCCUUCGGGUUGUAAACCUCUUUCAGUACCGACGAAGCGAUCCUUUUGGGGAGUGACGGUAGGUACAGAAGAAGCACCGGCCAACUACGUGCCAGCAGCCGCGGUAAUACGUAGGGUGCGAGCGUUGUCCGGAAUUAUUGGGCGUAAAGGGCUCGUAGGCGGUUUGUCGCGUCGGGAGUGAAAACCAGGUGCUUAACACCUGGCUUGCUUUCGAUACGGGCAGACUAGAGGUAUUCAGGGGAGAACGGAAUUCCUGGUGUAGCGGUGAAAUGCGCAGAUAUCAGGAGGAACACCGGUGGCGAAGGCGGUUCUCUGGGAAUAUCCUGACGCUGAGGAGCGAAAGUGUGGGGAGCGAACAGGAUUAGAUACCCUGGUAGUCCACACC
rnacentral:rRNA from 1 species